AUGCUCAAAGCCAAACUCCUGAGUUCUCCUUCACUCCCACACAGGCAGCCCAAGCGUGGGCAGCCACCAGGGAGGAAAGAGUCUUGUUGAAUGCUGCAGGAUGUUCUCAUAGCGUAAGGCCAGAUCUUUCAGACAAUAAACCAGAAAUAGUAUCAUCACCCCAAACCCUACCCAAAUGGUUUUAGGGCUAUAUUCUUGUGUAACUCUUUUUUUUUUUAAUCUGUAUGAUAACAAGUCCUUUCUGUGGAAGGCUGAUCCUGUUAAGUGGAAAUCUUUUUGCCUGGUGAGCACCUUGACAGGUUUGAGUGUGUGCAUUUGCAGGUUGGAGCAA
rnacentral:lncRNA from 1 species